CCUAUGGAAAGUCAAUGCUGUAAAAAGAAAGGGGAAUGCUUCUUAUAAUGGAAGCUCCCCUCCCCCUGGAAAAGUAACUAUUUCCAGUAAGUGAGAAGGAAGACUAGCCUCUGCCACCAGAGAGUAUUUAGAAGUAAUUGAAUCACUGGAUUAGCUAAUGCAGCAUCCAUUAGGAGUCCAUGCCAUUCCCAGAGGACUCUGCAGCCAUAAAGGAGAACAAGGAAGCCCUGAGUAUUUCAUGAAUGCACAUAAACCUCCUGCUUCCAGGCUAUAAAUUGCUUCCCGGGUGACAUCACAAAGGUGCUGUUGGCUCUCCUCCAUUUCCCUUAGCAUGAGGUCUGAGGUUUUCCAGAUGGGCCUGAAAGGGAUCAGACUGGAAUCAGACAUGCUCUGCAAAGGGUAUGAGUGGGAGUAUGCUCUCCUAUCUCCUGCCAUAUGCAUCAUGAAGGUCUUCUGAAAGGGCAAGAGAAAUCUGGAGUCGCAUGUGAGGAGCUUAAUGCCUGCCAACAUCAACAGCACUGACCACAUCCAGCAACAAUCCAUCGGCAUCUGAGAUCCCAUGCACAUGAAUGGACACCAUGCUGCAUGGUCAGUGACUUGUGCAUGCCUGGGAGUCAGCAGUAGGAGAUUUCCAGAUGCCAAGAAGUUUUCUCUGUACCUGCUGGCUGCUUGGCACUUGGCUACUGUGCAUCUAAAAUCACACAGCUCUGUGCUCGCUGCUGUUUACAACUGCUCAGUGUGAGCUCUCCCUGUUUUCCUGCAGGAAUUAGUUGCCUUGGUAGUGAGUAAAGAAAACUCAAAAUAUUUUAAAGAAAGAUGAAUGUGAAUAUGUGAUGCAGUUACCAUAAACUCACUGACUCCCACUCAAAUACAUUCAUCGCACAGGCUCUGUUUUCAGCUCCUUUUUUGUACCUCUCUCCCUAUCCCCAGUUCAACACCACCCCUUAAAUCCCACGCCUGCACUUUUCCACGCAGCCAGAGGACAGAUGUGUUUAUUUGCACGGUACCAGGCUGUGAUUCCUGACUCUGCUGCUGACUUUUUGAAGCACUGGGCAAGUUAUUUGUCAGACACCCUGUAUGUCAAGUCCUGCUCCUGUAAAACAAGCAGGGGAUGAUGCUGGGAAAAAUAAAUAUGGCUCUGGCUGG